rnacentral:rRNA from 1 species
CGGUACUGCCGGCUUAAGCCGGAGGAAGGUGGGGAUGACGUCAAGUCAGCAUGGCCUUUAUGUCCUGGGCUACACACACGCUACAAUGGCCAACACAAUAGGUUGCUAAGCCGCGAGGUGGAGCCAAUCCUCAAAGUUGGUCUCAGUUCAGAUUGCAGGCUGCAACCCGCCUGCAUGAAGAUGGAGUUGCUAGUAACCGCAGGUCAGCUAUACUGCGGUGAAUACGUUCCCGGGGCUU